rnacentral:rRNA from 1 species
AACGCUAGCUACAGGCUUAACACAUGCAAGUCGAGGGGCAGCAUUAGGUAGCAAUACUGAGAUGGCGACCGGCGCACGGGUGCGUAACGCGUAUCCAACCUUCCCGUUACUCUUGGAUAGCCUUCCGAAAGGGAGAUUAAUACAGGAUGGUGUUGAAAUUCCGCAUGUUAUUUCAACUAAAGAUUUAUCGGUAACGGAUGGGGGCGCGUGACAUUAGAUAGAUGGCGGGGUAACGGCCCACCAUGUCCACGAUGUCUAGGGGUUCUGAGAGGAAGGUCCCCCACACUGGAACUGAGACACGGUCCAGACUCCUACGGGAGGCAGCAGUGAGGAAUAUUGGUCAAUGGCCGGAAGGCUGAACCAGCCAAGUAGCGUGAAGGAUGAAGGUUCUAUGGAUUGUAAACUUCUUUUAUACGGGAAUAAAACCUCCCACGUGUGGGAGCUUGUAUGUACCGUAUGAAUAAGCAUCGGCUAACUCCGUGCCAGCAGCCGCGGUAAUACGGAGGAUGCGAGCGUUAUCCGGAUUUAUUGGGUUUAAAGGGAGCGUAGACGGGAGAUUAAGUCAGCUGUGAAAGUUUGAGGCCCAACCUUAAAAUUGCAGUUGAUACUGGUUUCCUUGAGUGCGGUUGAGGUGUAUGGAAUUCGUGGUGUAGCGGUGAAAUGCUUAGAUAUCACGAAGAACUCCGAUUG